UCACUUGAUAAUAAAGCUUUUCAUGUG
rnacentral:piRNA from 1 species